CUACGGGGGGCUGCAGUGGGGAAUUUUGCGCAAUGGGCGAAAGCCUGACGCAGCAACGCCGCGUGGAGGAUGAAGGCCUUCGGGUCGUAAACUCCUGUCAGUGGGGACGAAUGCUUCGCAAGAAGUUUGACUGUACCCGCUGAGGAAGCCACGGCUAACUCCGUGCCAGCAGCCGCGGUAAUACGGAGGUGGCAAGCGUUGUUCGGAAUUACUGGGCGUAAAGGGCGCGUAGGCGGCUUGGCAAGUCAGAUGUGAAAGCCCCGGGCUUAACCCGGGAAUUGCAUCUGAAACUGCUUUGCUUGAGUCCUGGAGGGGAUAGUGGAAUUCCCAGUGUAGCGGUGAAAUGCGUAGAUAUUGGGAGGAACACCUGCGGCGAAGGCGGCUACCUGGACAGUGACUGACGCUGAGGCGCGAAAGCUAGGGGAGCGAACGGGAUUAGAUACCCUCGUAGUC
rnacentral:rRNA from 1 species